AUUGAACGCUGGCGGCAUGCCUUACACAUGCCAGUCGAACGGCAGCACGGACUUCGGUCUGGUGGCGAGUGGCGAACGGGUGAGUAAUGUAUCGGAACGUACCUUUCAGUGGGGGAUAACGUAGCGAAAGUUACGCUAAUACCGCAUAUUCUGUGAGCAGGAAAGCAGGGGAUCGAAAGACCUUGCGCUGAUUGAGCGGCCGAUAUCAGAUUAGCUAGUUGGUGGGGUAAAGGCCUACCAAGGCGACGAUCUGUAGCGGGUCUGAGAGGAUGAUCCGCUACACUGGAACUGAGACACGGUCCAGACUCCUACGGGAGGCAGCAGUGGGGAAUUUUGGACAAUGGGGGCAACCCUGAUCCAGCCAUGCCGCGUGAGUGAAGAAGGCCUUCGGGUUGUAAAGCUCUUUCGGCCGGGAAGAAAUCGCAUAGGCUAAUACCCUGUGUGGAUGACGGUACCGGAAUAAGAAGCACCGGCUAACUACGUG
rnacentral:rRNA from 1 species